UACUCUCAGUUCAGAUUGUGGGCUGCAACCCGCCCACAUGAAGUUGGAGUUGCUAGUAAUCGCGGAUCAGCAUGCCGCGGUGAAUACGUUCCCGGGCCUUGUACACACCGCCCGUCACACCAUGAGAGUCGGGAACACCCGAAGUCCGUAGUCUAACCGCAAGGGGGGCGCGGCCGAAGGUGGGUCCGGUAAUUGGGGUGAAGUCGUAACAAGGUACC
rnacentral:rRNA from 1 species